GCAUUAAUGGGGUAGUGGUAACCUGGGUCGUUGCCAUCUGAUGGGCAUAGCAGUCUCUCGACCCGCCGGGGGUUCGAUUCCCUCUUAAUGCA